UAUUAUUUAUUAAAUGAAAAAGGUGUAUAGAGACAAAAUGUUUAAUAAAGAGUGUAUAAUCCCAAAUAUUAAAAAGAAGAAAGGGGAGGAGGCUGCUGGGUGUGCCCUCUUGACUAGACUGUCCAAAUUGGAAAGAUAACAUAUUAAAAACACGGUCUAUGUUAGGUAGUCGCCAUUGCCAGCAGGAGGUUUCCACUUCAGGGAACAUUUGAACCCAUCUCUUCCAUUUUUUUUCUCGAUUUCUGACUUUCUGGAAAAGGGGAAAUGCAAUAAGUGGAGAAUAGAAUCUGAUCAUAAGAGGGUACAAACAGUAGUUGACAAUGGGAGAAUGAAAUUGAGGAGUAAGGAAGAGGUUAAUGGUGGUGGAUUGGGUUGGUUGUGGCUGAAAGGAAAUGAAAGAGAUUGGGGAAAGCAAUGCACAUGGCGAGUGGGAUUGAGACGCCAUUGUCGGGUUUAGUUUGUUGAAAUUUGUAAGAAUGCAGCCCUAGUGUUCGAUCAUAUGCCUGAGUGACCCCUCCUUUCAUUUCUAUUCUUUUUUGGGGUCCUCUAUAUCUCACUGACACCUUCUCAUCACAAAAUAGUUUAUGUUUUCCAUUGUGAAAUAUUCAUUGAGUUGUCAUUUGUCACCAUUGCAUUGAUGGGGCCCCUCAUCUUCAUCUAUAUCUGCAAUUAUUAAUGGCCA